rnacentral:rRNA from 1 species
AACGAACGCUGGCGGCAGGCUUAACACAUGCAAGUCGAACGCCCCGCAAGGGGAGUGGCAGACGGGUGAGUAACGCGUGGGAAUCUACCUAGAACUACGGAACAACUGAGGGAAACUUCAGCUAAUACCGUAUACGCCCUACGGGGGAAAGAUUUAUCGGUUCUAGAUGAGCCCGCGUAAGAUUAGCUAGUUGGUGGGGUAAUGGCCUACCAAGGCGACGAUCUUUAGCUGGUCUGAGAGGAUGAUCAGCCACACUGGGACUGAGACACGGCCCAGACUCCUACGGGAGGCAGCAGUGGGGAAUAUUGGACAAUGGGCGCAAGCCUGAUCCAGCCAUGCCGCGUGAGUGAUGAAGGCCUUAGGGUUGUAAAGCUCUUUCAGUGGGGAAGAUAAUGACGGUACCCACAGAAGAAGCACCGGCUAACUACGUGCCAGCCGCCGCCGUAAAAC